rnacentral:lncRNA from 13 species
CAAUUUUUGAAGAUUUGGGAAAAAAGGUUUAAUUAUUUGCACUGAUUUAGGUAAGAGGAUACAUGAUUUAAGAUCUACCAGAUGAGGGAGAUUUUGUCCCAUGGAUCUGAAAAGCAGGCUCAUAUACUACUGAGGCAACCUAAUCAGGGGCCUGUUAGAACAUUCCUGUCAGAAUAUCACGUUCUUACACUGAGAAUAUUUUACAUCCUUGUGCUAUGACAGGACUCUGAUUUGGUCUUGUGUGAAGUGCGAUUUCCUUAAUGUGACCUGCUCUUCUUAAUUUGUUUACAGAUGACCGAGAAGAUCACGAUGAAGAACAAAAAUACAGAGACAGCAAAAAUAAACUUCUUAUGAGUCAAGUGGCCUACUACCUGGCCUGCCGGCUGAGGAUGAAAGGUGAGUUCUGUAGGUUCACCAUUACGGAAGUCCUGGACAGUGUUCUGUCUUGUCUCUGACAACUGCUCUACUCUCUUCUUCAUUUUAAUUUUAUCACUCACAGACUUCUAGGAAGGUAGCAAUUGGUAUUUUAACAUUUUCUUAAAGACAUAACACACAGGCAAAAUUAUUUAGCAACUUUCCACAUCUGAAAUAAGACAGGUGUGAGAUUGGGUGAACAUCCCAGAUACUGAUUUCCAACACAGGAACCAAAACACCUGCUUUUCUCUGCAGGAGGCUAAAUCAUGUUUACAGGAAUCUUAUCCAUACCAUAUAAGACCCUUUAGAACUGAAAAACAGGAUCAAGGUAGAAAUGUUUAUGUCCUGGCUUCAAGGUAAAUGAGUAGCUAAGACAAGUUGACUCUAAGGUGAUCGAGAGCGCAGAUGAGAAGAGUAAUUUGGGGAAAUAACAUCUUGAAAUCAACAGGCAAGGCUGUCAGUGACAUUCCUCAGUCCCGAUUAAACCAAUUUGACGUCACCAGUUUCUAAUUCACCAUGUCUUGGGUUCCUUCUUUCCAGUCCCUGGCUUUCUGUAUUGUUACCCAAACAUCAGCAGGGUGGAUUCCGGUAAACUUCCUUCGAGAAAAGACCCAGAGGUGAACGUUCCAGAAACCAUUGAGAAAUCCUGCUCCCAGCGGGAAGAUAACAAACCAGAUGUUGGAGUCCGCCGAAAUAGAUGUCUUCUGAGUGAGGUGGACUACUCCCUGAACUACAGGCUGAGGGCAUACGAAGCUCGAGAAGAUGACGAUGAGGAGCGGAGAUAUGGAGACAGCAAAAAGAAACUGCUUGUGAGUCGAGUGGUCUACUCCCUGGCCUGUCAGCUGACAACGGAAGUCCCCGGCUUUCCGUGUUCUGCCCCGAAUGUCAUCACGGUGGCAUCUGGCAGGGCUGUUGCCAGAAAACUCCCAGGAGUGAACGUUCCAGAAGCCAUUGAGAAAUCCUGCUCCCAGCAGGAAGAUAACAAACUGGAUGUCGGUGUCCGCCGAAAUAGAUGUCUUCUGAGUGAGGUGGACUACUCCCUGAACUACCGGCUGAGGGCAUAUGGUGAGUUCCAUAGGUCCACCUCCACGAAAGUGAUGAACAAUGUCCUGCCUCAUCUCCAGAAACUGACCGCUCUCUUCCUCAAAGUUAAUCUCGUCUUUCCCAUACUCCUAGAAAAUAGAAAUGUGUGUUUUACCAUUUGUUUUAAGGUGGGAGACAGAGGCCAGAGUGUUUAGCAACUGUUCCACGUCUGCAGUAAGGUGGGUGUGGGACUGGGGUUGCAAUCCCAGCUAUGGAUUUCUGAUGCAGGCACGGAACCACCUGUUUUUCUGAGCAAGAGGCUGAUUCCAUGUUUACAGGAAUCCUCUCUGUACAGUACAACAUCCUGCAGAGAAGUAGCAUCUAGUCUGUUGGUCCAAAUGUCUGAGGCUGCUGAACUUGCAUGUGGUUUCGGUUUAGGCUGAGGCCCAGCAGGCAAAGCUGUGUGUUGGGGACCCUGGGGGAAACACAGGGAUAGCAGACAGUACCUCCUGUGAGGAACUGAAAGGGGAUCUUUCUCCUGAGAGUAGAACCUGUCGAAUGUGUAAGUGGCCCCAUCAAGAGCAGGAAGUACCCUGGUACCGGUGCCUCAGCCUCCCAAUUAGCUGGUAUUUCCGGUGGGCACCACCACGCCUGGCUACUGUUUGUGUUUGAUUUAGAGGCGGGGUUUCUCCACAUUGGCCAGGCUGAUCUCGAACUGAGGUCAAGGGAUCUGCCCUUUCAGACCUCCUAAAGUGCUGGGAGUCCAGGCAUGAGCCACCAUGCUGGCUCCACAGAUUCUUUUUUUAAGUAGAGCUUGUUAAAAAAUACAUCCGUCGGUCCAGUCUCCUGUAUACAUUUCUCUAACCCUUCGUUGGCCAUGAUACCGGAUGAGCUAGAUGAGUAUUGCAGCAACCCUUCUGGAAAGCAGUCAGGGGAAGUUUUGAAGAUUUUGGGGUAAAAGUUUUAAUCGUCUGCACUGACUUAAGUCAGAGGAUAUGGGAUCGAGAUCUACAAGAUGAGACAGAUUUUGUCCCAUGGAUGUAAAAAGCAGGCUCAUCUGCUUCUGAGGCAACCAAAUCUAGGGCCCCGUGAGAACAUUCCCAUCAUAGUAUCGCAUUCUUCCAUUGAGACUAUUUUACGUUCUUUUGCUUUGACAGGACACUGGCUUGUUCUAGUUUAAAGUGAGAAUUGCUGAAUGUGACCUGCUCUCCUGAA